CUACGGGUCGCUGCAGUGGGGAAUAUUGGACAAUGGACGCAAGCCUGAUCCAGCAAUGCCGCGUGAGUGAAGACGGCCUUAGGGUUGUAAAACUCUUUCGCUAGGGAAGAUAAUGACUGUACCUAGUAAAGAAGUCCCGGCUAACUCCGUGCCAGCAGCCGCGGUAAUACGGAGGGGACUAGCGUUGUUCGGAAUUACUGGGCGUAAAGAGUUCGUAGGCGGACUGACAAGUUAGAGGUGAAAUCCCAGGGCUCAACCCUGGAACUGCCUUUAAAACUGUCAGUCUAGAGACCGGAAGAGGUUAGGGGAAUACCUAGUGUAGAGGUGAAAUUCGUAGAUAUUAGGUGGAACACCAGUGGCGAAGGCGCCUAACUGGUCCGGUACUGACGCUGAGGAACGAAAGCGUGGGGAGCAAACAGGAUUAGAUACCCUUGUAGUC
rnacentral:rRNA from 1 species